rnacentral:misc_RNA from 1 species
GAAGAAUGGUCCGGUCCAUCCAUCGAUGUGCAAGCACCUGUAUGGAAAAGAGAAGCUCCACUUUCUGCAUCACUUAAUCGGUGGCACGCGUUAGACACCGAAUCUGCUGUGAGUUCUUCCACUCAAUCUCCCGAACACAAUCUUAGCAAUCGGGUGGGCCAUUCCUCUUCAGGAUCUGAAUCGGGUACAAGUAGGAGCAUGAGGUCUGGAGGAGGGAUGCAGGUUGUAGCAGAUGAUGGAACAAACAUGUCGGAAGUGGCAGACGAUUGGGAGAAGGCUUAUGACUGAAACAAUGGAAAUGGAAAAAUAGUAUAGCCUUAGUUGAUAAAUAAAAUUAGGCUUG